AGUUUGAUCCUGGCUCAGGACGAACGCUGGCGGCGUGCCUAAUACAUGCAAGUCGAGCGGACAGAUGGGAGCUUGCUCCCUGAUGUUAGCGGCGGACGGGUGAGUAACACGUGGGUAACCUGCCUGUAAGACUGGGAUAACUCCGGGAAACCGGGGCUAAUACCGGAUGGUUGUUUGAACCGCAUGGUUCAAACAUAAAAGGUGGCUUCGGCUACCACUUACAGAUGGACCCGCGGCGCAUUAGCUAGUUGGUGAGGUAACGGCUCACCAAGGCGACGAUGCGUAGCCGACCUGAGAGGGUGAUCGGCCACACUGGGACUGAGACACGGCCCAGACUCCUACGGGAGGCAGCAGUAGGGAAUCUUCCGCAAUGGACGAAAGUCUGACGGAGCAACGCCGCGUGAGUGAUGAAGGUUUUCGGAUCGUAAAGCUCUGUUGUUAGGGAAGAACAAGUACCGUUCGAAUAGGGCGGURCCUUGACGGUACCUAACCAGAAAGCCACGGCUAACUACGUGCCAGCAGCCGCGGUAAUACGUAGGUGGCAAGCGUUGUCCGGAAUUAUUGGGCGUAAAGGGCUCGCAGGCGGUUUCUUAAGUCUGAUGUGAAAGCCCCCGGCUCAACCGGGGAGGGUCAUUGGAAACUGGGGAACUUGAGUGCAGAAGAGGAGAGUGGAAUUCCACGUGUAGCGGUGAAAUGCGUAGAGAUGUGGAGGAACACCAGUGGCGAAGGCGACUCUCUGGUCUGUAACUGACGCUGAGGAGCGAAAGCGUGGGGAGCGAACAGGAUUAGAUACCCUGGUAGUCC
rnacentral:rRNA from 1 species